UACGGGGGGGGCAAGCGUUGUUCGGAAUUACUGGGCGUAAAGGGUUCGUAGGUGGCCAACUAAGUCAGACGUGAAAUCCCUCAGCUUAACUGGGGAACUGCGUCUGAGACUGGAUGGCUUGAGUGCAGGAGAGGAACGCGGAAUUCCAGGUGUAGCGGUGAAAUGCGUAGAUAUCUGGAGGAACACCGGUGGCGAAGGCGGCGUUCUGGACUGCAACUGACACUGAGGAACGAAAGCCAGGGAGCAAACGGG
rnacentral:rRNA from 1 species